AACAGUGUGACAACUUCAAAUUCGAUAUAUAAAGGGUUAUCUACAUGACUACAUAGUAUGCGUAAAAGAGAACCACAUUGGUGAUUGCUUUUUUACGGGCUUUAAUAGGACUACUGAGAGUACUAUUAUCUGAUUAAUUUUCUUCAUCAUGUUGUUCUUGUAUAGCUUUGUGGUCUAAAAUAUUUUCUCAUAAUGAAGGGUUUCAUCAAACAUCGAUAAAAUUAUUUACUGGAACCUGAUUAUGAUUACUAGAAUUAUUAACUUUGUUCUUACCAAAGAUUGAGGCCCCCCUCCAAAAUGUAGAACUUUUUUGACUCCACAUCAACAUGCGUACGAAAAUUGAAAUAAUAAUAAAGUUCAAAGAUAACUGAAUUGAAUUACAACAACAACAACAACAAACCCAGUGUAUUCCCACUUUGUGGGGUCUGGGGGGGGUAAGAUGUACGCAGUCCAUACCUCUACCUCUGAUGAAGUAGAAAGGCUGUUUCCGAAAGACCCCCGGCUCAAGUUACGAGAUAUCAAACAAACACAUAGUACAGCACAGAAGCAGAUGACAUAACAUAGAUACUGCAGCCAUAAGGAAUAUAAAACAGGGUAAAGCAGGGAUGCAGGAAUAUAAAGCAGAGGAAAGCACACAGAUUCGUAACAAACAUAGAACACGGAACACGGAACAGAACAUUGAAUACGGAAUCAUACCAGGAAUACACCCCCACCA
rnacentral:lncRNA from 1 species